UGGGGAAUCUUGCGCAAUGGGCGAAAGCCUGACGCAGCAACGCCGCGUGUGUGAUGAAGGUCUUCGGAUCGUAAAGCACUGUCGGGAGGGACGAAUAAGGCGGCGGCGAACAGCCGCAGUCGACGACGGUACCUCCAAAGGAAGCACCGGCUAACUCUGUGCCAGCAGCCGCGGUAAUACAGAGGGUGCAAGCGUUGUUCGGAAUUAUUGGGCGUAAAGCGCGUGUAGGCGGCCUUGCAAGUUGGGUGUGAAAGCCCUCGGCUCAACCGAGGAAGUGCGCCCAAAACUAUAAGGCUUGAGUACCGGAGAGGGUGGCGGAAUUCCCGGUGUAGAGGUGAAAUUCGUAGAUAUCGGGAGGAACACCAGCGGCGAAGGCGGCCACCUGGACGGAUACUGACGCUGAGACGCGAAAGCGUGGGGAGCAAACAGG
rnacentral:rRNA from 1 species